rnacentral:piRNA from 1 species
UUCCAAUUGAUUCUAUCUCUGCCUCCCACU